rnacentral:rRNA from 1 species
GAUGAACGCUGGCGGCGUGCCUAAUACAUGCAAGUCGAGCGAACGGACGCGAAACUUGCUUUUCUGAUGUUAGCGGCGGACAGGUGAGUAACACGUGGAUAACCUACCUAUAAGACUGGGAUAACUUCGGGAAACCGGAGCUAAUACCGGAUAAUAUUUUGAACCGCAUGGUUCAAAAGUGAAAGACGGUCUUGCUGUCACUUAUAGAUGGAUCCGCGCUGCAUUAGCUAGUUGGUAAGUUAACGGCUUACCAAGGCAACGAUGCAUAGCCGACCUGAGAGGGUGAUCGGCCACACUGGAACUGAGACACGGUCCAGACUCCUACGGGAGGCAGCAGUAGGGAAUCUUCCGCAAUGGGCGAAAGCCUGACGGAGCAACGCCGCGUGAGUGAUGAAGGUCUUCGGAUCGUAAAACUCUGUUAUUAGGGAAGAACAUAUGUGUAAGUAACUGUGCACAUCUUGACGGUACCUAAUCAGAAAGCCACGGCUAGGUACGUG